rnacentral:lncRNA from 1 species
GCAGGCUGAGGGUAACUGGAAGAAGCCGAGAAUUCCUCUGCUCUGCCUUCGGGAGGAGGGGAUGAGAGAAGCAGGGAAGACCAGCAGCAAUCUCUCCAAAAGAGAAGUUCCUCCAGCUCCUAGGAUGAGCAAGAUAGUAUAGACAAAAGAUGGAAAGAGGACAACCUAGGACCCCAGGGAGUCCCUGGUAUAGAUAUCAGGAGCCUAGGUCCCCUGUCUGGAACUGCUCUAGGGGAGU